GGUCUCGUAGCUCAGUCUGAUUAGAGCGUAGCACCAGUAGAUUGCCAGGAGCUGGUUCUGAGGUCGCGGGUUUGAAUCCCGUCGAGAUCA
rnacentral:tRNA from 1 species